rnacentral:lncRNA from 1 species
AGAAGGCGCCGGGGCAAGCGGCCUGUUGGCGCCCAGUUUCAGCUGGCUGUUCCCGCUAGCAUCAGGGCUCGAUCGUAGAGGACGCGGCAGCCGCAGCUCGCGGAGAACAGCGGGCAGAGCUGUGGGCUGCACGCGCCCCUGCAGCCACCGGGCGUCCCGCAGAGGCUCCCGCGCCCUGCGGCGACUUCCGCCCCCGCGCUCCCCUUUGUCCGAGUCCCCAAGCGGCGGCGGCGGGGUAGGAGCCCACGCCGUGGGCGACUGAGGCGGCGGCAGUCCGCGUCCCGGCGCCCUGGAGAUGCCGGACCAGAUCUCCGUGUCGGAAUUCGUGGCCGAGACCCUUGAGGACUACAAGGCGCCCACGGCCUCUAGCUUCACCACGGGCACGGCCCAGUGCCGGAACACCAUGGCGGCCAUCGAGGAGGUGAAUUAUACCCUUUUGGGGUUCAGACCUCGCUCAACUGGAGACCUGCCUGUCUGUGCAAAGCCCAGUGCCCCACAUGAAUGGCUACACUUGGGAAAACCAUCAUAUUGAAGGACAUUGUCAAAGUUCAAGAAGAAAUGAAAGGUUUAGUCUCCACUGCCAGCUGCCAUGGGCAAGCAGAACAGCAAACUGGGUCCUGAGGUGCUGCAGGACCUGCGGAAAACAGGGAGUUCACCCACCAUGAGCUUCAGGAGUGGUACAAGGGCUUCCUCAAUGACUGUCCCACUGGCCACCUGACUGUGGACAAUUUCAAGAUCUAGGCCAACUUCUUCCCCUACAGAGAUUCCUCCAAGUUUGCUGAACAUGUCUUCCACACCUUUGACACCAACAGCGACAGCACCAUCGACUUUCAAGAGUUCAUCAUUGCUCUGAUCAUGACCUCUCGGGGCAAGCUGGAACAGAAGCUCAAGUGGGCCUUCAGAAUGUCUGAACUAGACAGCAAUAGCUACUUCAGCUGCAGUGAAAUGCUGGAGAUAGUGCAGGCAAAAUGUCCCUGGAAGAAUUCAACAAAGGUGCCAAGAGUGACCCAUCCAUUGUCUGGUUGCUGCAGUGUGAUCCCAGCAGUGCUAGCCAGUUCUCAGGGGAAUGGGCUUUUACACAGUUGUGAGAAGCACAGUCUUGACCUGCCAUCUUCAGCUUUGCUUGCAAAAGUGGAUUUCUCCGUGAUUUCUCCUGCUCUCUCGGGACCUGGGUCCAGACAGCACAUCACACUCACCUGGUCUAGCUGGAUUCAGCUCCCUCCUCUAUCUGACCCAAUAGAUGUCCGUCCCCAUCCAGUCCAGGCUGGUUCCUUCCAAGGUUUCAAGUGUUCUCAGCUGUAGGGCUCCUUCCCUCCCCACGGAGGGCCUGGAGGCCCUUAAGGACACCAGACAGGACUUUUCAGUAUCUUACCGAGACCAGCUGAUUUAUUCUAUGAUCCCAGCUGACUUUGUGAGCAUGAAGAAGAUGGAGAGUAGAUAGGCAAGCCCUUCCUGUUCAUGGCUCCACCUCCCUUGUUCAUUUUCUCCAACCACAGCUGCUUGCAUGUAUAUACCGUGGUAUCCUUACUUUUAAUAUAUAAGUUUUGUAUAAAGUGAGAAGUUUCAGCCCCUGUAUUUAAAGCCUCUGACUGCCUUUAAAGCAUGGUCCCCUGUGGCUUGUGAUUCUCCCCACCCCCAAAUCUAGCUGUGCUGUGGUAUUUAAGUAUUCAUUUGCCUAAUUAUACAGGAUAUACAUGCAUGCCCAAGGCUGUGGACAUCUGCCCUCCGUCCUGCAAAUACAGGUUUUCUUGGGUGCUCCAUCCUUCCUUUCCAUUGACCUGGAAUAUUAAAAUGGUCAAAUAAACCAA